UUUUUUCCUCUCUUUUUUUCCUCUAUCUUUUUUUUUCUCCCUCUUUCCAAGACAAACUAGAUAAGAUGCAGAUUGGAUCAGGCGAAGAUGUGAAUGACCUCAACUAUGAUUAUGACAAUGAACAGUGCGUAGCACGUGGUGGAAAUUAAUGGAUGGGAUGGUGGACAGCGGAAGGGAUAAUGAUGCAGUGGCGGCGUGACUAAUGUGAACAGAACUCGAAACUCUAAAGGAACCAGACACUAAGACCAGCAACUGACACGACGAUGCAACCGAUAAUUUAACUAUGCAAGCAAUGAAUAGAAAAUUGCAAAGGCUCAGACUGGCUUGGAUAAAGGAUGAACAGAUCUAACUUUUUUUUUGUGGCUUUUUCUUGGACAAUAGGUAAGAAAAUAAAUCUAAUCUAAGAAAAACUGGAAAUUCUCACCGAGCAACCUGAAAACUGAUACCACUUGAUAGAGACGAGGGUCCCGAUCUUUCAAUGAGAUGAUAACUAUCGAUUUGGUGGAGACGACUUUCACGAUCCGACUACAAACGUGCACGACGUUGCGCCUUAGCAAUCGCUAAACCAAUCUCCUGAGGUUACUGACGAUGCUGGAAGCACGGUCAGCCUGACCACGAAGGUCUAUUCCUGCAAGCAAUCGAAGAACGAGCAAGAAUAUGAUAAAGCAAUCUGAAUAUUGCAAAUAUAUAUGAGAUGAUAACUAUCGAUUUGGUGGAGACGACUUUCACGAUCCGACUACAAACGUGCACGACGUUGCGCCUUAGCAAUCGCUAAACCAAUCUCCUGAGGUUACUGACGAUGCUGGAAGCACGGUCAGCCUGACCACGAAGGUCUAUUCCUGCAAGCAAUCGAAGAACGAGCAAGAAUAUGAUAAAGCAAUCUGAAUAUUGCAAAUAUAUAUGAGAUGAUAACUAUCGAUUUGGUGGAGACGACUUUCACGAUCCGACUACAAACGUGCACGACGUUGCGCCUUAGCAAUCGCUAAACCAAUCUCCUGAGGUUACUGACGAUGCUGGAAGCACGGUCAGCCUGACCACGAAGGUCUAUUCCUGCAAGCAAUCGAAGAACGAGCAAGAAUAUGAUAAAGCAAUCUGAAUAUUGCAAAUAUAUAUGAGAUGAUAACUAUCGAUUUGGUGGAGACGACUUUCACGAUCCGACUACAAACGUGCACGACGUUGCGCCUUAGCAAUCGCUAAACCAAUCUCCUGAGGUUACUGACGAUGCUGGAAGCACGGUCAGCCUGACCACGAAGGUCUAUUCCUGCAAGCAAUCGAAGAACGAGCAAGAAUAUGAUAAAGCAAUCUGAAUAUUGCAAAUAUAUAUGAAGUAUUGAUAAUGGUGGGGAUCCGGAAGCGGUCUUGGUCUGGUCGUUGGACACAAACGAAGUACACGAAGCGGUCUUGGCUAACUUUUAACUAAACAAAUCCCAAGAAAAAGCUACUAGAUGGAUCUACUUAUAUAGGAGCAAGGGGUGGAGGCCAAGGAGGUGGGAGGACGUCCCAAGGCAGCCUAAAACUAAAUCUAGGUCGUACAAGGCCAAUGGGCCCAAGUGGAGAUGAUGUAACACCUUUGGACUUGUAGUUUGACUCGGAUUCUGCUGCAGCAUCAGAUUGUUUCGUCCACAACUCAACGCUCCGGACGAAUUUGAAGGUGAUUCCAAUUGGGUUGGAAAGUGCACGAAAUCUAGUUUCCAACAAAAAAAGAAUCACCCAAUUCGGAGUCCGUAUGAAAAACUUGUGUGCGUUUUGAGUCAGGUAUGUCUGUGCAGUCCGAAUCUGAAUCCAGAACGUGAGAGACUUGGACUCUAUCUUCUCUUGGGCCAAAAGUGACGUGAGAGAACUUUUUGGACAGCAAAUAAACAUCUCUUUCUUCCUUAUCUUCAUAUGUGGAUUGUACAAAUGUCCCAUACACCUGCAAUUAGACAAAACACAAAAGUGUGUGAAGUAUUUUUGUUCUGGAUAACAUAAAUAGAUUAUUGAAUAGUUUGCACUAGAAAUCACCUGACAAAUAUGCAUAUAUGCAAUAUUUUUGGUCAUAUCCAAGGUAGUCAUGUCCUCAUCACCUUCUGGCCAGGCGUUCCAGCUCUGCGCACCCCCAGUCAGACCGCCAACUGGUUAGAGGUGGUUGUCGGCCGCUUCAAGGCGUGGAAGGCCUCCGCAUCCCGGGCAGGCAUGCGGUGGGACUUGGAGUUUGUCAAGGCGUGGUAUCCGGGGCUGAACCUAGCCCAAUUAGCCACGUUCCGGCAGGAGGCCAGGGAAGAGCUGGCGGUGGUGGGACCUGCGCUCAUUCAAUGCUCAGCGGCGAUCGCUGAGUACACCAAUACUGGUGUCUUCCUCCCCGAGCUGGACGAGGAGGGUGCCGAGGUGCCGCCCAACUGGUUCGGGCUGAACCUGAACGACGAUGGGUACUCGGUGGAGGAAAUCGCCUCCAGCGACGAGGGCGAGGAAGACGAAGGCGUGGAUGGUGAGGACGAUGCACCAUAGAACGGAGUGGACAACCAGCCUCAGCUUGAUCGAGCAUCGAGCAGCGAGCCGCGUGCGAGUUCGCCGACUGCUGCCGACGGUGACCAAGCUGAGACUCGCCAGACGACCACCCCGCCAGCCGGCGCCGCUGACUCCACCAACCUGCCGGACCCGACUGUGGCUCCUCUGGCCUAGGCGGCCAGUUUAUUUUAUCUUUUCCUGUUUUGGUAGUCUUUUGAACAAACUUUGUUAGAUUUGCGAUGUUCCACCUGCUGGGGGUGUAUUCAAACUUUGUUGAAUGUCGGCCAAGGGCCUUUUGCUAUGUAAAUUAAUUUUGCUGAGUUCUAACUUGUCUUGCUUUUCUGCUCCUUUGGCUCUUUUCCUUUGCCACCUCCCCUUGGCUGCCGCCUUGCCAGCCAGACAGCCGCUCUGCGGUCUGUGGCUGGGUCAACUACUUGGCCAUUUUUUGGGAAGGCAAGUACUUCGGCCGUUUGGAACGUAGCAAGUUAAGUGAGAGGCAUGCCGGCUGGUUGCUCAGCAGCCGAUCGACGAGGCAAGGAGCCAACUUGGCCUAUGUGAAUGCUUUUGUCCUUAGCCAUUUUUCAUGCGGGCACCAUUUCCUGCCUUUAACUCUUGCCAACCGAACAGUCACUCUGCGAGCUGCGGCCUAUCGCAAGAGAGGGCUUAGAUGCCGGCACAUUACUUGUUCGAUUGCAUGUAGCACCGACAUAGUACAAGGCGGCAAGCCCCCGGGCUGACUGGUCGAACCCGGUGCCAUGCAGAAUAAUGAAAUAACACAUUCAUAGGCAUAAAACUUAUCUUAUAGAUAAAAGGGUAGCCCCCGAGUGCUCCUCAAGGGCCCCGAUGUCUUAGCGCUUUAAUACAAAAGGUAGCAUGGUACAUACUACAUCAAUUGUAAAAUCUUCGGAGGAGAUUUUCAUUCCAUGGGCGCUUCGAUUCUUUGCCAGAGUCGUCUCUCUUGCGCGCUCUGGGCUUCUGUGCAUCGAUGAGGUAGUAGGAAUCAUUGCCCAAAGCUUUGCUGAUGACGAAGGGGCCUUCCCAAGGGGCCGAGAGCUGGUGCUGGCCGGCUGUUCACUAGAUCAGCCGGAGCACAAGGUCUCCUUCUUGGAAAGAUCUUGGCUUCACCUUCCGACUGUGGUAGCGGCGCAGACUCUGUUGGUAGAUGGCGGACCGGCUGAGUGCCAACAGUCGGCCCUCUUCCAGCAGAUCAACGCCGUCUUCUCAUGCUUCUUUCGCCUCCACCUCUGUGUACAUGGUGACGCUAGGUGAAUCGAACUCAAUGUCAGUUGGGAUGAUGGCCUCGGCCCCGUACACGAGGAAGAAGGGGGUGAAGCCAGUUGACUUGCUCAGAGUGCUGCAGAGGCUACAGAGGACGCCGGCAGCUCGUCGAUCCAGCAGCCGGUCGAGCACUCCAGUGGCUCGACUAGUCGGGGCUUGAUGCCGAACAAGAUGAGGCCGUUGCUCUCUCGACUUGGCCGUUUGACUGUGGAUGGGCAACAGACGCUAAUUCCAGUAGGAUGCCCCACGUCGCGCAGAAACGAGCCAAGGCACCUUUGGCAAUGUUUGUACCAUUGUCAGUGAUGAUGCUGUGUGGUACACCAUAUCAGACGGUGAUAUCCGCGAUGAAAGUCACAGCGAUCGGACCGUUCAACUUCUUGAUUGGCUUUGCUUCAAUCCACUUAGUGAAUUUGUCCACGGCGACAAGCAGAUGGGUCAGGCCGCCGCAUGCUGUCUUAAAUGGUCCCACCAUGUCCAACCCCCAGACGGCAAAAGGCCAGGUAAGGGGGAUGGUCUUGAGUGCAGAAGCCGACAGAUGUUGCUUGGAGCUGAAUUUAUGGCACCCCUUGCAAUGCUUGGCCAACUCCUUGGCGUCCUCCAAGGCAGUCAGCCAAAAGAAACCAUGACCGAAAGCUUUGGCAACAAGGGAUCUGGAGGCCAUGUGGUGGCCACACUCUCCUUCGUGGAUAUCUUUGAGGAUUGCUUGGCCCUUCUCUUGUUCUACGCAGCGCUGGAAGACCCCAGUCACGCUGUGUCUGACAAGCUCUCUGUUAACUAUCGUGUAGGCCCCUCCUCGGUGCUACAUCUGCCGGGUCGAGAUCUCAUCAGCUGGCAGCUCUCUGUUCAGCAGGAAAUUGAGGAUGGGUUGUGCCCAGGAUGGUGCUUGGACUUCGUCCACUAUCAUCACAGCCACUGGUACUAGGGCAGUUGGGUUAGGAGGCGGCAGGGUGGAGUCAGUCGCUGCUUGCUGUGUUGUUGGAGUCUCCGGGCCGACUGUUGCAGCCCCCGAGCACCUUGGUGAAGUCCCCGAGCCGGCUGCUGCAUCCCCCGGGCCUGGUUGUGAAGACCCCGGGCUGGGUGCGACUGCUACAGUCCCCGUGCCACCUGCCGAAGUCCCCGAGCCGGCUACUACAGCCCCUGAGUCGGAUCCGACUGCUUCAGGAGCAGUCGGUACAAAGAUGGACUCGAAUUCUGGAGAAGGUUUGAUAGACGGCUUGCGGAGGCACUGAAGGGAAACGCUGGCUGGUAUUGCCUGACGGGUGGAGCCGAUCCGUGCCAAGGCAUCAGCUUGCUCGUUGUCGUUCCGUGGCAUGUGAAGGAACUCGCACCCUUCAAAAUAUUCGCUGAUCUGCUAGACGAGGAAGCGGUAACUUGCCAUGUUUGUAUCCUUGGCAUCCCAGUCACCAGGCGACUGUUGGACCACCAAGUCUAUGUCGCCAUAGCACAGUAUCUGGCAGAUGCCGAUUUCUUUGCCAGCCAGAGUCCGUGUACUAGCGCCUCAUACUCGGCCACGUUGUUGGAGGCGGCAAAGUGAAUUUGCAAUGCGUAUAUGAGGUUCUCGCCCUUGGGAGAGGUGAGGACAACGCCAGCUCCCAAGCCGGUGCCCAUCUUUGAGCCAUCAAAGUGCAUCCGCUAAUGAGUGGAGUCCGGAGCUGGCAGCAGGUACUGGGUCUCCGCCCAGUCGACGAGGAAGUCAGCCAGUGCUUGGGACUUGAUGGCGGUGCGUGGCUGAUAGAAGAUGGUGUAAGGGGCCAACUCAAUGGCCCAUUUGACCACCCGGCCUGAUGCAUCUCUAUUGCCUAUGAUCUCAGCAAGCGGGGCAGUGCAGACACCGUGAUUGGGUGCUCUUGAAACUAUGGCUUCAGCUUUUUGGCGGCAAAGUGCACGCCGUAACACAUCUUCUGGUAGUGGGGAUAGUUCUGCUUUUGAGGUUGAUAGCACCUCGCUCAAAUAGUACACAAGCCUUUGGACCAGCUGUGCUCUGCCGUCUUCUGGGCGUUCCACCACAAUGACAGUGCUGACCACCCGGCUCAUGGCGGCGAUGUAGAGGUACAUGGGCUCUUUAGCAGCCGGGGCCGCCAGGACAGGCGACGUAGUCAGCAUCUUCUUCAGCUGGAGAAUGGCCUCGUCUGCCUUGUCGUUCCACUCGAAGUGAGUGGUUUUCUUCAUGAGUUGGUAUAGGCGAAGAGCCUUCUCACCCAGUCGACUAAUGAAGCGGCCGAUGGAUGCCAAGUAGCUGCUGAACUUCUGGACAUCUCGCAGUCGGGUGGGUCUCUCCAUCCUCUCAAUGGCCUUGAUCUUCAUAGGAUUGCACCCAAUGCCGCGCUCUGAGACCAGGAAGCCAAGGAGCUGGCUGGCUUGAUGCGGAGCAUCCCAAGGUUAUCCCCAUAAACCUACAUUGUCUCAUCAAGUGCCUAGUGGACCCAUGACUCGAUCACGUGAAAGAGCUCUUGAAACCGAGGUGACAUCUCUCCUCUCACAAUUCCACUUAGAUGCACAUGAAGCAUGGCUACUACCUCAUAUGGAUACUUGGUGCAUACUCAGGUACAAUGGAGAAGCUAAGAAGCACGAACAAGAAGAAGAGGAAGAUGGACGAGAAGACGGAGAAGAAGGAGGGCUGAAGGAAAAGUACCAGCCACCGGACGACCGGCCGGGACCGGACGUCCGGCGCCUGAAGCGUCAGCCGAGCCCCAGCGAGCGGACGUCCGGUCCAGACCGGACGACCGGUGCCCCUGCACCCGAGGCCAAUGAGCAGACGUCCAGCCCCGACCGGACGACCAGCGCGACCGCACCCGAGCCAACAUCAGCAAAAGUCUGGAGCCUCUGGACGUCCGGCACCCCCAUCACAUAACGGAACCAGCAGACGACCGGAGGACACCGGGCGUCCGGCAGCUCCUGAGACACCGGACGACCGGUCCCCAGCGGACGUCCGGUACCUAUCUGCGCACAGUGUUCGGGCCCAAGGCCCAUGUACCCUUUCACUUCUCCCCCUUUUGCACUUAGAUUAUAAAUAGACCCCCCCCAUUCAUCCUAGCUAGGGUUAGCAUUGGUUUAGCUCAUUUGAGAGAUAGGGCAUUGCUCAUCCAUAUCGGAUCUACUCCAAGAGAGAGACCGCGGCCCCUCUUCGGAGAAGAUCCACCUUGGAUUCAAGAUCCCUUUCUAAGGGAAGAUCCCCUUGUGGAUUCAAGACCUCCUCACGGAGAAGAACCGGUUACCGUGUAUCGUCCCUAGUUGUCCGUGGAUUCGUGUAUCGUUCUAUGUACUCGAGGAUCUAGCCCAUGUGUGACUUAUUCGUGUCGGUUUAGUGAUUUCCUCUUGUGUUUUCCUUAUGUUCUUCCCCGUGUUCUUCGUAUUUUCCCCAGGAUCCGCUCCUUUCGUGAAAGAUCGCGCGAUUAGGGUCUCCACCCUACAUCAUCUUGGUAUCUAGAGCAAGGUUGAUCACGAUUUCGGAGCCCCCUCUUCGUUUUCUAGCUUGAUUUUGUUGUUUUUCGUCCUAAUCCGAAAAUCCCCACAAAAAUAGCCCCAAAAUUUUUUCUUGUGUUUUGUGAGUUUUGAUGAUGUUUUGUUGGUUUUGAUCCGUGAAUUUGUUGUGUUGCAAGUGGAUCUCGCCUUUCCCCACCAUUUCCACCGCGAUAUCCCUCCAAAAAUCCCCAAAAUCACCUCCCGGAUCUGAAUUUCGCGUUGACCCCAACCACCGGACGACCGUAACUUCACCGGACGUCCGGCGACCCAGGAAGCACCGGACGUCCGACCUUGCCGGACGAACGGCGACCGGACAUCCGUCCACUUCCGGAUGACCGCUACUUCCACCACAUCAUCCUCUACACCACCUUCAACUUCCGCAAACCGUUCCAAUAUCCCAACCCACACCACCACUUAACCGCUACCUACUCCAACGAUUUUGGUCGCCUUUGGUUUUGAGAAUUUGAGUUGUGGUACCGUAUCCUUUUGUGUUUGGGCUAUCUAGGUACGGUUCGACAUCGACAUCACCGCCGCUCAUCUUCGCCACGGACGCGUCAUCAACAACGACCACCUCGACUACAACUUGGUAUUCGUACCUCCAUUUUGACACCAUACCGGAAGCAAGACCGGUAACCUCAUCUUGGUAUUGGACAUAUCACUCUUGCCAUCAAAUUGUUAGCCAUCAUAGCCUUAUUUCUUUGCGUUGAUUACCCUUCGAGACUAGCCAUUGAGUAUUGCCGGCAACGAGACUUGUGCACUUUAGUGAUCAUACUUCCCAUAGCAUACAUACAUACAUCAUUGUUGCCUAUAUUGGUAUCAUCUCUUGUAUCACAAAGUUGUCAUCGCAUACUCACUUGCUAUCUUGGUUCGUCAAGCAUUGCAUGAGAAAAGAGCUCAAACAUCAAAGAGCCAACCAAGCUUUUAAGCAAAGAGGAAAGAUAAGCAAAGAGCUUUUAAGAAAGAACCAUAGCAUCAUACAACAUUAAGAUUGUCAUACUCGAUCAUCUUGGAUCAUAUCAUAGCAACACCUUGCAUAAAACAUAUUUGGGAUAGAAGUCGUUGCAUUUUUGCUAAGUAGGUUGUGCACAAGUUCUUGUAUCCGCCUAUUGUGCAAUCGUGCUAGCGUCUCUCUAGUGUUGUGCAACAAGAGCAUUUUUGUGGAUUCCACAUUUUGGCUCACCCUUGGUUGCACAACCCCACUUAUCUUUUUGCGCGUGUGUUUCCAUGUACCGUAUAUGCUUGGUCUGCUUGUUACAUUGCAUCUUGCGAAUCUUCUCCAACAUUAUUGAAUCUUGCUUACAUUCACAUUAAAAAUUGUGCCACCAUCCUAACCAAGCUCCACCAUAAGCUUUUACUUGUGUAGGUGUGAGAAACCGACGAGAAUUCGUACCAAUUGGGCUAUUUCCUUGUCCUACAUUGGAGUGAUCAUCGAUUCACUUUCAACUUCGGUCAAGGUACAUUUGGUAUUCGUUCUUCUCUUUCUACCACUCACACUUGUCUUGGAAUGAUGGAUAGGCCAAGUACUUCUACCAACCCACUCUUCAUGGAGCAAGACGACGACAUGAACUCCUUCGUCACCAAGAGUCACCUCUUUGGUGCAGAACGUGCUUUGCAUCAAGAGCAACAAGCUAUGAGUGAACGCAUCCACAACCUUGCCGCCGACUUGCGACUUUCCGAGCAACGUACAAGGGACUACUUCGACCACAAGCUCGACGAUCACAAGCAAGAGAAUGACGCAAGGAUGGACGAGAGUCGCACUUUGUUGCUCAACCGCUCUUCUUCCACUUCAAGAAGGAGCCGUUCAAGUCGCCACUCCAACUUCACCCUCUCCGGCUCAAGUACACCGACAUUGAACACUCUUUGUCGAGCCGCGCGCAUCGACCGUCAAGCAAACCUCAAUCCACUUCGGGAAACCUCCUCUCAAGAGCGCCGACGACGUCAAGCCGAAGAAGCCUUUGCGCUAGCUCGAGAACAACAACAACAACGCCAACACGAAGAGGAAGAACGCGUGCGUCUACACCAAAAUGCACAAAAUGCCGAGGCUCAGCGUCAAGAACAACAACUCCGUGACGCUCAAGCACUUGAGGUGCAACAAGCUCUAUGUGAUGUGAGUCGAGCCGUUGCCGACCGAGGCCGACAAGCACAUGAACAAGAGGAAGCACUUCGCGACGAACUUCAUGAAUGACGAUUUCAAGCUCGCCUGCAUCGUCUAGUUCCCCCUCGAGCUCGACGCGUUCCUCCCCAAGCUCGCCAAGACCAUCAUGUUCAUCAAGAGCGUGAAAACAAUGGGAAUCCUCCGCGACAAGAGCAACACGAGGUUGACAACCCUCCGCGUCAAGAGCACCAUGAGUUGGACAAUCAUCUACAACAUGGGCGUCAUCAUCCCCGACCCCAACACAAUGAAGAGCAACGCUACGGCAAGCUCAAGUUCACCAUGCCCAAGUUCAACGGAAGCAACGAUCCCGAAGAAUACCUUUCAUGGGCAUUGAAAGUUGACAAGAUCUUCCGUUUGCACAAUUAUGAAGAAGAGAAGAAGAUCGCGAUGGCAUCCCUUGAGUUCCAAGACUAUGUCCUCAUUUGGUGGGAACAAAUCAUAGAGAGCCGCGAGGCAAGAGGUGAACCACCCAUCACUACUUGGGCACAAAUGAAGGAUGUCAUGAGAGCACGCUUCGUGCCUACCUACUACAACCGCGACCUCUUCAAGAAACUCCAACAAGUCAAGCAAGGAACCAAGAGCAUUGAAGAAUACUACAAGGAGAUGGAGAUUGCAAUGAUAAGAGCCAAUGUCACGGAAGACGAUGAACAAACAAUGGCACGCUUCAUGAAUGGACUCAAUCACCCUAUCAAGAAGAUCGCCGACUCCCAACCAUACUCAAACCUCAUCGAGCUAGUGCACCAAGCCACCAAAGCGGAACGCCAAGUGCAAGAUGAUUUCAAGUAUACCAAGUUCUCGUCCAAGACCUACGGCUCCUCUUAUCAAGCUCCCGCGACUUCGGAAACUCCUACCUCAACUAGAGAAUCACCAAGUACCGGCGAUAAGUCAAGUUCCAAGAAAGCUUCGUCAACUACAAGCCAUCCUCCUACGAGAAACUUCAAACCGAGAGCUUCAUCAUCAUCUACCCAACCGAUGAGACCGUCAAGACAAGUUCCUUCGAGUGUUUCACUUGCGGAGGCCGAGGCCACAAGUCCUACGAGUGCACCAACAAGUGAACCAUGGUCUUGAACAACGAUGGAACUUAUGACUCCAUGAGUGAAGGCGAAAUGGAAGCCCUCGAGCAAGUCGCCAUGCACUGCCAAGUGAACAAUAAAGAAGAACAAGUCUUUUGUGAUGAAGACUCAAGUCCCGCACUUGUUGUCUCCAAAGUCUUGACCCUCCAACAUCACCAAGAAGAAGACCAAAGAUGCAACAUAUUCCACACCAAGGACGGCAUCAAUGGACGAUCCGGCAAUGUCAUCAUCGAUGGAAGAAGUUGUCAUAAUCUCGCAAGUGAAGAACAUUGCUCCAAGCUCCAAUUGCCAAAGACGAAGCAUCCACAUCCAUACAAAGUGCAAUGGCUUAGCGACUCCGGCACUAUCCAAGUCGAGCACCGAGUACAAGUCUCCUUCAAGAUCGGCGCCUACGAAGACACCUUGGAGUGCGACGUCGUUCCAAUGACAGUUUGUCAUCUUCUCCUUGGACCACCAUGGCAAUUUGAUAGAGGAGUCGUACACAACGGCCUAACAAACCACUACAUCUUCAAAAUGAAGGGCAAGGAGUACAUCCUCCGUCCAAUGUCACCAAGUCAAGUGAUCGCCAGCAAGCACGCCACCCUUCGUGGAGAUCAUAGUGAGAGAGCGAGCCACCAAAAAGAGAGUGAGAGCCACAAGCCAAAAUCGAGUGCCUCCAUGAUGAGCGAAAACAAGAACCUAGUUCUAUUUGCCACCAAACGUGAGAUGAGAGAAGUGUGUGAGAACCCAUCUAGUGUCCUACACUACGUCCUCGUGUGCAAGGACAAUGCACCACAAACUAACAAUUCUUACACUCUUCCUCUAGUGUUGUCUUCUCUUUUGCAGGAAUUCCAAGAUGUUUUCCCCGAUGAGCUACCUCCGGGACUACCUCCAUUACGAGACAUUGAGCAAUGCAUCGACAUCAUCCUCGGAGGAACGCUUCCGAACAACGCUCCCUACCGCGUCAAGUUCUUGAGUUACUUUUGGAAGACCUUAUGCGCCAAGCUUGGAAUCAAGUUACUCUUCUCCACGGCGUACCACCCUUAGACCGACGGCCAAACGGAGGUGACGAACCGAACACUCUCCACUCUACUACGAGUCUUAAUCAACAAGAACAUCAAGGAGUGGGAGGAGUGCUUACCCAUCGCCGAGUACGCCUAGAACCGCGCAAGACACUCAACAACCGGCAAGUCUCCUUUCGACGUCGUUUACAGAUUCAACCCAUUAUCACCAUUGGACAUUCUUCCUCUACCACUCCAAGAGCGCAUCAAUUUGGAUGCAAGUGCGUGUGUGACACAUCUCAAGACGGUGCAUGAAGAUACAAGAGACACCAUCGAGCGCCAAGUUCAACGCCUUGCGACCAAGCUCAACUUCAACAAACAACCUAUGGUCUUCAACAUUCGUGAUCGAGUGUGGCUACAACUUCGCAAGGACCGCUUCCCACAAGAACGCAAAUCCAAGUUUCGACCACGAGCGGAUGGACCCUUCAAGGUGCUUGCACGCUACAACGACAACGCUUACAAGAUCGACCUCCCGCGCGACAAGUACAACGUGAGCGACAUCUUCAACGUCAAAGAUCUCUCUCCUUUCCAUGGUGAUGAAGAAUUUGAUCCGAGGACGGAUCUUCCCCAAGGGAGGGGAGAUGAUGCGGAGCAUCCCAAGGUCAUCCCCAUGGACCUACCAUCGUCUCAUCAAGUGCCUAGUGGACCCAUGACUCGAUCACGUGCAAGAGCUCUUGAAAUCGAGGUGACAUCUCUCCUCUCACAAUUCCACUUCGAUGCACAUGAAGCAUGGCUACUACCUCAUAUGGGUACUUGGUGCAUACGCAGGUACAAUGGAGAAUCUAAGAAGCAAGGACAAGAAGAAGAGGAAGAUGGACGAGAAGACGGAGAAGAAGGAGGGCUGAAGGAAAAGUCCCAGCCACCGGACGACCGGCCGGGACCGGACGUCCGGCGCCUGAAGCGUCAGCCGAGCCCCAGCGAGCGGACGUCCGGUCUAGACCGACCAGUGCCCCUGCACCCGAGGCCAAUGAGCGAACGUCCAGCCCCGACCGGACGACCGGCGCGACCGCACCCGAGCCAACAUCAGCGGAAGUCCGGAGCCUCCGGACGUCCGGCACCCCCAUCACAGAACGGAACCAGCGGACGACCGGAGGACAACGGACGUCCGGCAGCUCCUGGACACCGGAUGACCGGUCCCCAGUGGACGUCUGGUACCUGUCUGCGCACAGUGUUCGGGCCCGAGGCCCAUGUACCCCUUCACUUCGCCCCCUUUUGCACUUAGACUAUAAAUAGACCCCCCAUUCAUCCUAGCUAGGGUUAGCAUUGGUUUAGCUCAUUUGAGAGAUAGAGCAUUGCUCAUCCAUAUCGGAUGUACUCCAUGAGAGAGACUGCAGCCCCUCUUCGGAGAAGAUACACCUUGGAUUCAAGUCCCCUUUCUAAGGGAAGAUUCCCUUGUGGAUUCAAGACCUCCUCACGGAGAAGAACCGGUUACCGUGUAUCGUCCCUAGUUGUCCGUGGAUUCGUGUAUCGUUCUAUGUACUCGAGGAUCUAGCCCAUGUGUGACUUAUUAGUGUCGGUUUAGUGAUUUCCUCUUGUGUUUUCCUUCCGUUCUUCCCCGUGUCCUUCGUGUUUUCCCCGGGAUCCGCUCCUUUCGUGAAAGAUCGGGCGGUUAGGGUCUCCACCCUAAAUCACGGCUGGUACCCCAAAGACGCACUUCUCUGGGUUGAGCUUGAUUUGAAAACGGCAUAGAUUAUCAAAAGUUUCCUUGAGAUCUUCCAAGAGGGUACCACGCUUCUCCGUCUUCACCACAAUAUCGUCUACAUAGAUGUGGGCAUUUCUGCCGAGUUGCUUGAGGAGGCACUUCUGCAUGCAACACUAGAAUGUGGCACCAACGUUUCUCAAGCCGAAUGUCAUAGUCAGAUAGCAAAAGGCUCCGAAUGGUGUGAUGAAGGCGGUCUUCAGGAGGUCGACCGGGUCCAACUUGAUCUACUGGUACCCUGAGUAGGCAUCCAAAAAACUCAGCAGCUCGCAUCUAGCUAUGGAGUCUAUCACUUGGUCAAUCCGAGGCAAAGCAAACAGAUCUUUGGGGCAGGCUUUGUUGAGGCUGGUAUAGUCAAUACACAUGCGCCACUUGUUCUUCUUCAGUACAAGGACUGGGGUGGCUAGACACUCUGGAAAAAAACACUUCCAUAAUGAAGCCGGCUGCCAGAAGCCGGGCUAUUUCUUCAUCAACAAUUCUUCUCUUCUCUUCCGACAGUCGACGGAGGGGCUGUUUGACUGGUUUGGCAUCAGAUCUGACAUGUAGCUUGUGCUCGGCAAAAUCCGUCAGAACACCCGGCAUGUCUUUGGGAGACCAUGCGAAGAUGUCCCAAUUCUCACGGAGGAAAUCGACGAGCUCGCUUUCCUAUUUGCUGUCAAGGUUGGCCCUAUGAUAGUGUGCCUUUCUGGGUGCUCGGGGUCCAAGGGGAUCUUCUUUGUUUCUUUGGCCGGCUGGAAGGAGCCCUGGGUCUCCGACUCUUUGGGAUCUGGUGAUAGGUCCGACUACUUGCUGGCCAUGGCCACCACCCGGUCCAGGAGCUUCUUCUUAGCGGCAAUCAAAAGGGACUCGGCCAGCCGGCUGCUGGCCGUGGCACAGGCGGCGGACUUCUCGUAGUCCCUGGCUAUCGUGAUAAUGCCCUUGGUUCCCGACAUCUUCAUCUUGAGGUAGGCAUAAUGAGGUACUGCCAUGAACUUGGCUAGAGAUGGCCGGCCUAGGAGCACAUGAUAAGGACUCUCCAGGUCAACCACCUCGAACCAAAUUGCCUCGCAGCAGAAGUGAUCUUUGUCUCCAAAGAGGAUGUCUAUCUUGAUCUUGCCGAUUGGUGAGCAGGAAAGGCCAGGCACAAUGCCAUGAAAAACAGUCCGACUGGGCUGGAGCUGUCUCUCUUUGAUGCACAACUUCUCCAUGGUGUCACGGUAGAGGAUGUUGAUGCUUCUACCGCCAUCUAUCAGUAUCCGGCAGAAACGAGCAGCUCGCCUCUACGUUACAAGGGUGGCAUCCAAUACAAGAGCAUAGGAACCCGGAGAAGGCAUCACCUCCGGGUAGUCUGCUUGGCUCCAACUGAUAGGCUUCUCAGACCAGUGCAUGAACUCUACGGCAGCUGAGGCAACGGCGUUCACUUCACGGUGCUGCUAACGUCGGCUGUGCCGGUCACCAGCCACACUGGUGAACACGACGUAAGCUCUGUGCUCCUCGGGGUAUUCAUCUUGGACAGCGCCGACUACUGGACUGGCCGUCAGCUACUGGGGAAGAGGCGGUGGCUGGCCAGUAGGCGGAGGGGGCAGCAGUCCUUCGCCCUUGGAGAUUCGAGUGAGCCAGUGGCACUUCUGGGUGGUGUGGUUGGACGGCUUCGCGCCACUAUGGAAUUUGUAGGGAGCAUCCAGGGUUUUCUCAUAGGAGAAGGCGGGCAGCCAAGCAGGCUUUCCGCCCUUCUGACGCUUGGGGCCGGGUUGUCCCUCCGGCUGCUAGUCCUCAACUCUCGCCACCUGCCGGCUGGUGGGAGCCGGCUGCGGGGCCUUGCGCUUGUUGUCGUUCUGCUACUGGCGCCGACUGUUGUCACCAGCUGGCGUCUGGGGAGCCGGAGGGAGCACCUUUCCGGUCAUGUCCACUUGGAGCUCCAACUUCAUGGAGGAUUCAGCUGUCGCAUACUUGUCUGCAAUGAUCAGUAGCUCGUCGAGGGUAGCCGGCUCAUCGCAGAGGAGUCGGUGCUUGAGCAAGGUGCCCUCUCGGCAUCCAGAAGUGAAGCACUCAAUGGCUUGCACCUCGUGCACCCCUUUCGCAGGAGUUGCUCAGUUCGGCCCACCGCGUCAAGUAGUCGCCGUGGACUCGGUGGGACCUUGGACGCACCAAGAAAGCGGGCGAGGCUUGGGCGGCCGCUUGUAGGUGUUGGUGAAGACUUCAAUGAAAUCUACCGAGCUGUUGAUGCUGUGGGGCUUCAGGCUGUUCAUCCACGUCAGGGCCGUGCCCUGGAGCAUGAGCGGAACAUACUUCACGGCAAUGCGCUUGUUGUCGUUUGCUAUGUUGACGACUGUGGAGUAAUCCACCAGUCAAUCUUCCGGCUUUAUGGAGCCAUUGUACUUAGGCGUGUCUCUUGGGAGCGAGAACCCUUUGGGAAAGGGCUCGUCGCGAAUGCGGGGGCCGAAACAAGGCGGGCUGAUUGCAUCUUCUUCUUCUAGCACUAGGGAUCGCGCCAGAUGGUCGAUCCGGUGACGGGCGUCGUUCUCUCCGACUCCUUAACGGCGGCCUAGCCGGUUGCCUAGAGUCGGGUGGUCAAUAGGCAGCGGGGAGGCACGCCUCUCCUGGCGAGGAGGGGGAGGAGGCGGAUGAUCGUCCCGCCGUUCCACUGCUCGUGGGUGGCUGUCUUGAUCGCGCUCGAUGGUGAUGUGCGUCCCACUGCAGCUAGCAGGCGGCUCUCUGUUUCUUUGGUCAUGGAUGCCGCCUGUCAACGACCAGGAGGUUGCACCAUGCUUUCGGUGAGGGGGAAGGUUUUCGGCAUGCUGGCCGGCUUCCUCCACGUGGCAAUUGGCCUCUUGUUACGCGGCGGCCGUGUCGAUGAGUUCCUGAACGCGCUCCAUCAUGCAGCGACACUCGUCACCCUCCAGGUGGUCCAGCUCGCCUACUGCCGCUUGAGCAGCAUGUAUGUUCUCCAUGGGCGUGGUGUAGACAGGGCGGUCUACCCCAAACAUGCUGGCAAUGGCAGCGCCACGCUGUCGGACCAUGCCUAUGCGGUUGGGCCCGCAAGCAGCCGGCGUGCCGUAGACUACGCAGUCGAUCUCGCACUGGUAGGCCUCGAAGAGGUGUCUCAUGGUGGCCCAAUUCUUGGCGUCCUCGACGAGAGAGACGUGGAAGGCUUGUAGCAUCUCGGCGUUGGCAUCUGCCGCGAUGGGCAUAGACAUGCCCCGCAUUACCGCCUACAGCGGGUCCUGGGUGGCUCCGCUGGAGGCUCCAUCACGGCUGAUGACAAGCACCUCCAUGACGGUGCUGCCACCGCUGUCUGCGCGAGGAAGCGGGUCAUCGAUGACCACCACAUCGGCGGAGAAGGAAUCGAGGGAUGCCGUGUCGGAAUUGACAAGCAUCGGGUCGGUGGAGCCAACUGACUCUAGGUCAGUGGCUGGCUCGUUGGUGAUGUGGAACUUGGCGAGGAAGUCGACAAGGCAGCUCUCGGAGCUGGCUGCUCCCUCGUCGGACGCGGGCUCGUCGGAGAGGUGGAUUGCUUCCUCUUGAGCACUAUGUUGGCUUUACCUUGAAGAGGAAAGGGUGAUGCAGCAAAGUAGCGUAAGUAUUUCCCUCAGUUUUUGAGAACCAAGGUAUCAAUCCAGUAGGAGGCCACACACGAGUCCCUCGCACCUACACAAACAAAUAAAAUCCUCGCAACCAACACAAUAAAGGGGUUGUCAAUCCCUUCAUGGUCACUUACGAAAGUGAGAUCUGAUAGAUAUGAUAAGAUAAUAUUUUUGGUAUUUUUAUGAUAAAUAUGCAAAGCAAGGAAAGCAAAAUAAACAGAAAAGGAAAUAGCUUGUUGACAGAAGAUUAAUAUGAUGGAAAAUAGACCCGGGGGCCAUAGGCUUCACUAGUGGCUUCUCUCGAGAGCAUAGGUAUUACGGUGGGUAAACAAAUUACUGUUGAGCAAUUGACAGAAUUGAGCAUAGUUAUGAGAAUAUCUAGGUAUGAUCAUGUAUAUAGGCAUCACGUCCGAGACAAGUAGACCGACUCCUGCCUGCAUCUACUACUAUUACUCCACACAUCGACCCCUAUACAGCAUGCAUCUAGAAUAUUAAGUUCAAAAGAACAGAGUAACGCUUUAAGCAAGAUGACAUGAUGUAGAGGGAUAAACUAAUGCAAUAUGAAAUAAACCCCAUCUUGUUAUCCUCGAUGGCAGCAAUACAAUAUGUGCCUUGCUGCCCCUACUGUCACUGGGAAAGGACACCGCAAGAUUGAACCCAAAGCUAAGCACUUCUGCUAUUGCAAGAAAGAUCAAUUUAGUAGGCCAAACCAAACUGAUAAUUCGAAGAGACUUGCAAAGAUAACCAAUCAUCCAUAAAAGAAUUCAGAGAAGAUUCAAAUAUUGUUCAUAGAUAAACUUGAUCAUAAACCCACAAUUCAUCGGUCUCAAUAAACACACCGCAAAAGAAGAUUACAUCGAAUAGAUAUCCACAAGAGAGGGGGAGAACUUUGUAUUGAGAUCCAAAAAGAGAGAAGAAGCCAUCUAGCUAAUAACUAUGGACCCGAAGGUCUGAAGUAAACUACUCACACUUCAUCGGAGAGGCUAUGGUGUUGAUGUAGAAGCCCUCUAUGAUCGAUGUCCCCUCCGGCGGAGCUCCGGAAAAGGCCCCAAGAUGGGAUCUCACGGGUACAGAAAGUUACGGCGCUGGAAUUAGGGUUUUGGCUCCGUAUCUGGUAGUUUGGCGGUACAUAGGUAUAUAUAGGAGGAAGAAGUACGUCGAUGGAGCAACAUGGGCCCCACGAGGGUGGAGGGCGCGCCUGGGGGGGGGGGGGUAGGCAUGCCCCCUACCUCGUGCCCUCCUGGUUGCUUUUUGGACGUAGGGUCCAAGUCCUCUAGAUCAUGUUCAUUCCUAAAAUCACGUUCCUGAAGGUUUCAUUCCGUUUAGACUCCGUUUGAUAUUCUUUUUCUAAGAAACUCUGAAAUAGGCAAAAAACAACAAUUCUGGGCUGGGCCUCCGGUUAAUAGGUUUGUCCCAAAAAUAAUAUAAAAGUGUAUAAUAAAGCCCAAUAAUGUCCCAAAUAGGAUAUAAUAUUGCAUGGAACAAUAAAAUAUUAUAGAUACGUCGGAGACGUAUCAAGCAUCCCCAAGCUUAAUUCCUGCUCGUCCUCGAGUAGGUAAAUGAUAAAAACAGAAUUUUUGAUGUGGAAUGCUACUUGCCAUAAUUUCAAUGUAAUUCUCUUAAUUGUGGUAUGAAUAUUCAGAUUUGAAAGAUUCAACACAAAAGUUCAAUAUUGACAUAGAAAUAAUAAUACUUCAAGCAAACUAACUAAGCAAUUAUGUCUCUUCAAAAUAACAUGUCCAAAGAAAGUUAUCCCUAGAAAAUCAUAUAGUCUGGCUAUGCUCCAUCUUCAGCACACAAAGUAUUUAAAUGAUGCACAACCCCAAUGAUAAGCCAAGAAAUUGUUUCAUACUUUUGGUGUUCUCAAACCUUUUCAAUCUUCACACAAUACAUGAGCGUGAGCCAUGGACAUAGCACUAUAUGUGUAAUAGAAUGGUGGUUGUGGAGAAGACAAAAGGGAGAAGAUAGUCUCACAUCAACUAGGUGUAUCAACGGGCUAUGGAGAUGCCCAUUAAUAGAUAUCAAUGUGAGUUAGUAGGGAUUGCCAUGCAACGGAUGCACUAGCGCUAUAAGUAUAUGAAAGCUCAACAAAAAGAACUAAGUGGGUGUGCAUCCAACUCACUUGCUCACGAAGACCUAGGGCAUUUUGAGGAAGCCCAUCAUUGGUAUAUACAAGCCAAGUUCUAUAAUGAAAAAUUCCCACUAGUAUAUGAAGGUGAUAACAUAGGAGACUCUCUAUCAUGAAGAUCAUGGUGCUACAAGUGUGGAAAAAGGAUAGUAGUAUUGUCCCUUUUUAUAUUUUUGGGCCUUCCUUUUUUUAUUUGGCCUUUCUCUUUUUUUGGGACAAUACUCUAUGAAUGAUGAUCAUCACACUUCUAUUUAUUUACAAGUCAAUGAUUACAACUCGAUACUAGAACAAAGUAUGACUCUAUAUGAAUGCCUCCGACAGUAUACCGGGAUAGCAAUAAUGCAUGAGUGACUUGUACGAAAGAAUUAUGAACGGUGGCUUUGCCACAACUAAAAUGUCAACUACAUGAUCAUGCAAAGAAAUAUGACAAUGAUGGAGCAUGUCAUAGUAAACGGAACGAUGGAAAGUUGCAUGGCAAUAUAUCUCAGAAUGGCUAUGGAAAUGCCAUGAUAGGUAGGUAUGGUGGCUGUUUUGAGGAAGGUAUAUGGUGGGUGUAUGAUACCGGCGAAAGGUGCACGGUAUUAGAGAGGCUAGCAAUGGUGGAAGGGUGAGAGUGCGUAUAAUCCAUGGACUCAACAUUAGUCAUAAAGAACUCACAUACUUAUUGCAAAAACCUACUAGUUAUCAAAGCAAAGUACUACGCGCAUGCUCCUAGGGGGAUAGAUUGGUAGGAAAAGACCAUCGCUCAUCCCCGACCGCCACUCAUAAGGAAGACAAUCAAUAAAUAAAUCAUGCUCCAACUUCUUCACAUAACGGUUCACCAUAUGUGCAUGCUACGGGAAUCACAAACUUCAACACAAGCAUUUCUCAAAUUCACACUACUCAACUAGCACGACUCUAAUAUCACCAUCUCCAUAUCUCAAAACAAUUAUCAAGUAUCAAACUUCUCAUAGUAUUCAACACACUCAUAAGAAUUAUUUUAUUAAUCUUGAAUGCCUAACAUAAUUAAAGCAAAUUGCCACGCUGUUUUGUAGGACUCUCAAAAUAAUAUAAGUGAAGCAUGAGAGAAUAAUAGUUUCUAUAAAACAAAUCCACCACCGUGCUCUAAAACAUAUAAGUGAAUCACUAGAGCAAAAACUAUAUAACUCAAAAGAUAUAAGUGAAGCACAUAGAGUAUUCUAAUAAUGUUCAAAUCAUGUGUGUUUCUCUCAAAAGGUGUGUGCAGCAAAGAUGAUUGUGGAAAACUAACAAAUAAAGACUCAAAUAAUACAAGACGCUCCAAGCAAAACACAUAUCAUGUGGCGAAUAAAAAUAUAGCUCCAAGUAAAGUUACCGAUGGAAGUAGACGAAAGAGGGGAUGCCUUCCAGGGCAUCCCCAAGCUUUGGCUUUUAGGUGUACUUAGAUAAUCUUGGGGUGCCAUGGGCAUCCCCAAGCUUAGGCUCUUGCCACUCCUUGUUCCAUAAUUCAUCAAAUCUUUACCCAAAACUUGAAAACUUCACAACACAAAACUUAAAGUAGAAAAUCUCAUGAGCUCCGUUAGAGACAGAAAACAAAACACCACUUCAAGGUACUGUAAUUAACUCAUUAUUUAUUUCUAUUGGUGUUAAACUUAAUUUAUUCUAACUUCUAUCUGGUUUAUAAACUAUUUUACUAGCCAUAGAUUCAUCAAAAUAAGCAAACAACACACGAAAAACAGAAUCUGUCAAAAACAGAACAGUCUGUAGUAAUCUGUAGCUAAUGCAAGUUCUGGAACCCCAAAAAUUCUAAAAUAAAUUGCUGGACGUGAGGAAUUUAUCUAUUAAUCAUAUUCAAAAAUAAUUAACUAAAUAGAACUUUCCAAAUAAAAAUGGCAGCAAUUCUCGUGAGCACUAAAGUUUCUAUUUUUUUACAGCAAGAUUAAAAAAGACUUUCCCCAAGUCUUCCCAACGGUUCUACUUGGCACAAGCACUAAUUAAAAACAAAAAACACAACGAAAACAGAGGCUAGAUAAAUUAUUUAUUACUAAACAGGAGAAAAAAGCAAGGAAUAAAAAUAAAAUUGGGUUGUCUCCCAACAAGCGCUUUUCUUUAAAGCCUUAUAGCUAGGAAUAAUAUUUCAAUGAUGCUCACAUGAAAGACAAGAAUUGAAGCACAAAGAGAACAUCAUAAAACACGUGACAAACACAUAUAAGUCUAACAUACUUCCUAUGCAUAGGCAUCUUAUAGGCAAACAAAUUAUCAAGGCAAGCAAAAACUAGCAUAUGCAAGAAGCGGAAAGAAACAAUAGCAAUCUCAACAUAACGAGAGGUAAUUUAGUAACAUGAAAAUUUCUACCACCAUAUUUUACUCUCUCAUAAUAAUUGCAUGUGGGAUCAUAAGCAAAUUCAACAAAAUAUCUAUCACAUAAAAUAUUUUCAACACAAUCCACAUGGAUGCAAAGUUGACACUCUUCCAAAAUAGUGGGAUUAACAUUAACUAAAGUCAUGACCUCUCCAAACCCACUUUUAUCAAAAAUUUCAUGAGAUUGAACAUUCUCCAAGUAUGUGCGAUCUAAAUUUGACACUCUUCCAAACCCACUUUCAAUAAUAUUGCAAACACUAUUAUCAAUCUCAUAUUCAUCAUGGGGCUUAAAUAAAUUUUCAAGAUCAAAAGAAGAAUCACCCCAAUCAUGAUCAUUGCAACAAAUAGUAGUCAUAGCAAAACUAGCAUCCCCAAGCUUAAGGUUUUGCAUAUCAUUAACACAAUUGACAUUAAGAGAAUUUAUAAUAACAUCAUUGCAAUCAUGCUUUUCAUUGAUGGAACUAUUAAGUAUGGGUACAAUAGCAACGAUCUCAUGUUUAACAUAAGGAACUAUAGCAAAUUCAUCUUCAUAAAUAUUGGCAUCAUGGCCACAAGAAUAGCAAGCAUCAUGUUCAUCAAGGGAUAUUUCAAUCAAAUCAUCAGAGUCAUAAUUAUCUGUAGAUUCAUGCAUAUCAUCAUUUUCUUUCGAAGCAACGGUCAUUCUUUCAAUAAAUUCUUUGACAUAGACAUUAUGAGCAUAGUUUUCAAAGCAAUAUUUAAGUAUGUCAAAUUUUCAGAUUCGUAGGGAGUAAUAUCAUAUUUUUCAAUCAAAGAAGCAACUUUGUAAGCACCCUUAAAAGCAACAAAUUCUUCAAUUCGUUCGAUAUCGUAGUAACUAUAAACACCCUUUGCAUAAGAAGAUAAGAUUUCAAUAUCAUUAAAAUCACAUAGGUAGGAGAGGUAUUUUUUACGGUUCUUAGAGAAACAAGUAAAAUCACAAAUUUCACAAAGAUUCCAAGCAUAACACAUCAAUCUGUUUAUUUGAUUCCAUAAGAGUCUCCCUUUUUCAGACAAACGGUGACGCACAAAAUGAGCAUGCUCAUCUAAAGAUUUCCCAUCAACUAGGCUAGUUGGGGUAUCAGCACGAGCGCAUAAGGAUCGAAGAUGAUCUAAGUAGAACACUUUAAGUGGAUCUAUAUCAAUAGAUUUUUAGCAAGCAACGAUGCAAGCAAAUAGAAGGCACAUGGAAACACAAACAAGGAUACAUACGGGAAGAAGGCAAACAAAAGAAGAGGCAAAUAGGGAAAGAGAAGGAGGACGGAGAGAGAGAGGGCAAAUAAAACGGCAAGGGUGAAGUGGGGGAGAGGAAAACGAGAGGCAAAUGGCAAAUAAUGUAAUGCAGGAGAUAAGGGUUUGUGAUGGGUACUUGGUAUGUUGACUUUUGCGUAGACUCCCCGGCAACGGCGCCAGAAAUCCUUCUUGCUACCUCUUGAGCACUGCGUUGGUUUUCCCUUGAAGAGGAAAGGGUGAUGCAGCAAAGUAGCGUAAGUAUUUUCCUUAGUUUUUGAGAACCAAGGUAUCAAUCCAGUAGGAGGCCACGCACGAGUCCCUCGCACCUACACAAACAAAUAAAAUCCUCGCAACCAACGCAAUAAAGGGGUUGUCAAUCCCUUCACGGUCACUUAUGAAAGUGAGAUCUGAUAAGAUAAUUUUUUUGGUAUUUUUAUGAUAAAGAUGCAAAGUAAAGAAAGCAAAAAUAAACGGAAAAGGAAAUAGCUUGUUGCCGGAAGAUUAAUAUGAUGGAAAAUAGACCCGGGGGCCAUAGAUUUCACUAGUGGCUUAUCUCGAGAGCAUAAGUAUUACGGUGGGUAAACAAAUUACUGUUGAGCAAUUGACAGAAUUGAGCAUAGUUAUGAGAAUAUCUAGGAAUGAUCAUGUAUAUAGGCAUCAUGUCCGAGACAAGUAGACCGACUCCUUCCUACAUCUACUACUAUUACUCCACACAUCGACCGCUAUCCAGCAUGCAUCUAGAGUAUUAAGUUCAAAAGAACAAAGUAACGCUUUAAGCAAGAUGACAUGAUGUAGAGGGAUAAACUCAUGCAAUAUGAAAUAAAACCCCCAUCUUGUUAUCCUCGAUGGCAACAAUACAAUACGUGCCUUGCUGCCCCUACUGUCACUGGGAAAGGACACCGCAAGAUUGAACGCAAAGCUAAGCACUUCUCCUAUUGCAAGAAAGAUCAAUCUAGUAGGCCAAACCAAACUAAUAAUUCGAAGAGACUUGCAAAGAUAACGAAUCAUACAUAAAAGAAUUCAGAGAAGAUUCGAAUAUUGUUCAUAGAUAAACUUGAUCAUAACCACAAUUCAUCGGUCUCAACAAACACACCGCAAAAGAAGAUUACAUCGAAUAGAUCUCCACAAGAGAGGGGGAGAACUUUGUAUUGAGAUCCAAAAAGAGAGAAGAAGCCAUCUAGCUAAUAACUAUGGACCCGAAGGUCUGAAGUAAACUACUCACACUUCAUCGGAGAGGCUAUGGUGUUGAUGUAGAAGCCCUCGAUGAUCAAUGCCCCCUUCGGCGGAGCUCCGAAAAAGGCCCCAAGAUGGGAUCUCAUGGGUACAGAAAGUUACGGUGGUGGAAUUAGGGUUUUGGCUCCGUAUCUGGUAGUUUGGGGGUACGUAGGUAUAUAUAGGAGGAAGAAGUACGUCGGUGGAGCAAUGUGGGCCCCACGAGGGUGGAGGGCGCGCCUGGGGGGCUAGGCACGCCCCUCUACCUUGUGCCCUCCUGUUGCUUUCUUGACGUAGGGUCCAAGUCCUCUGGAUCAUGUUCGUUCCGAAAAUCACGUUCCCGAAGGUUUCAUUCCAUUUGGAUUCCGUUUGAUAUUCUUUUUCUGAGAAACUCUGAAAUAGGCAAAAAACAACAAUUCUGGGCUGGGCCUCCGGUUAAUAGGUUAGUCCCAAAAAUAAUAUAAAACUGUAUAAUAAAACCGAAUAAUGUCCAAAACAGGAUAUAAUAUAGCAUGGAACAAUCAAAAAAUAUAGAUACGUUGGAGACAUAUCAUGGAUUCGCCGAUGAGAUCAGCGAGGCAGGCCACCGCGCAAGCGACUUCUGCGCCAUGCAGAGCGUCAAGGCAAACGCCAUAGGUGUGCCGGGCUGGCUGCGCUCGCUAGGGCAAAAAAGGGUUCCCAUCCAGAACAGAUCUCCGGACGAUGGUUGUAACAUCCCAAAUUUUCAAUUUGGAAUGUUAUACAUUAGAGCAUCAUUGCAUAUCAUAUUUUAUUGCAUUUUUGGCUUGAUCCUAGAAAUUCUACGCAACUUACGGACGUACGGAGAGAGUUGGGGAUUUCAUUAUUUUCAUGUUCGAGUUUUCUCGAAUUUUGGAAAGAGGAUCGUUUGAUUUUAAUUAUUUUCUCUUCAAUUAUUUCUUUAAUAAGAAUAAAAGAGAGAGGAUAAAAUGACUUCCUCAAAAUAGAGAAAUAUCGAAGAUUUAAUAUUAAAAUUAAAUAAGACUUUUAUUCAGAGUUUUAUCGCUAUUUUAUUUGAAUUAGGAAAAAUAUUCGUUUUUCAAAUUUGCAUUUUAGGCUCAAAUAAAUGUUCACCUUGUCCGGCUUAUUUUUAGAGGACGGGGAAAAAAUAUUUCGGUAUUUUUGGAGUCUGUUUAGUAUUUCUUUUCUUUCUUUUUCUGCACGUCAUAUUUUUUUAAAGUGAACCGACUCCGGGCCGUACCCGAGCGGGACUCCGCCCGGGGGGCCUUUAUAAGCUGCUGCCCCAAGUCGCCAAAAGCCCACAGCCGCCGCCGAAGCCCACCCGCGCCCUAACCCUAACCCUAGCCGCCACGCCGCGCCGCGCCGCCCGCCACCGCCACCGGAGCCGUACCGCCGCCACACCGCAGGAGCCGGACCCCACCGGACCUGAGGUAGCCGCCUCAGUUUUCGUGAGAAAACCGUUUGAUUUUUUUUGAAACCCUAGAUCCGUUUUUUCAGAUCUGGUUUGGUUUAUUUUUUUCGGUUUAGUUACUUAACGAACGCCCGUUUUUAGGUUCAUUUUAACGAACGGUUUUCAUCGUUUAGCCGCAGACAGCGAACAUUCGUUCGUUAGCCUGUUCGUCAGUUUUUCUUUUUCUCGGAUUUUCCACGAUUAUUUUUUAUCGCGAUUUCUGAUCCGAUUUUCGUUUUAGUAUAACUUUUCGCUCGUCUCGAAACCCUCUUUCCGUUUAACCAACUUGAACAAGAUUUUGAUAUAGUAAAAUUUGAGCUUAGUCCAGAUUAGUAAUCGGAUCUUGUUUCUUUCGCAGUUUGAGUUUCGUUGCUCCGUUUGAUUUGAUUCUAUUUGCAAACCGAAGUUCUUAAGUUGAACUUUCUGGUUAGAUCCCUUAGUUGAGUUUUACCCGUGCGUCUUGUUUGAUUGCUUAUUGUAUGCUUGUUUGAUUGCGAUAGAGUACCCGGAGUGCGAAGCGUGCUACAUCGAGUCCCUAGGUUUUGCGGAUCAUCAGCAAGGAAAGUAACACUUUGAUCAUAUCCCUUUAUCACCCAGUUUUUAUGCAUUAGUUUCAAACCUCAAACAUUGCAUGGUUAGGACUUGAUAACAAGUGGGAUUUGGGAAGUAGAUGAGGUAGUACCUAUUCACCUGUUUAUAACCCUUGGGAGUUACUUCUACGUAUUGCUUAUAUUGCCAUGCUAUGCUCGUAGACGUGGUUUGGGUGAGUAAAACCAUGACAGAUGUGAGAUUGUUAAUUAAUGGUUCAACUUAAGGUGGCAACUUUAAUACACAUCUGGGUGGAUUGCUUGUCGGGCACCUGGAGAAUCCAGUGUUGUCCUAGGAUUUCCCGGAGUACCCGUGUGAUAAUCCUAAGGUCUGCCACCCAGGCUCAAAGGGAACUGAGAUAUUUCAUGCUAGAAACUUCCAUGUGCAGCCACAAGCUAUUAUGGGCUCUAGCAUAGUUGAGUAAGUUGCGUGAACCUCUUGAAGAGGUAGACUAGCAGAUGUAGUGGGUUGUAGGUGGUAUAGUCUAUCCGGAGUAGAGAGUUAAUUCUUCUGAAAGACUGUGGCUCGGUCAUCCGUUUCUCAAACAUCAUGUAGUGUGAGAAAUCCAACAGAGGAGAUCGAGUCUUGUGGGGAAAAGUGUGCAAACCUCUGCAGAGUGUACAAACUAAUCAUGGUUAGUCGUGUCCCCGGUUAUGGACAUCUUGAGUAUCUAGUACUUGGAUUAUCAUAUGUAUCUCAUCACUCUAAAUUAAUAUUGUUGGGUUGAUAAUUACUUUUAAUUGGGAUUGAGUUGGAGGAACCUUCUCAAUGAUGUUUCAACUACCAUGAUAGUUAAAUAAAAUAUAUGCCUUUGUUGUGGGGAAAAAUUGGCUUUUCGCAAAACUUUUACCGUAGAGCUUUCCACUAGCCAAAUAUGCAUAUAGUGAUAGCAUUAUUCUGUUCUUGCUCUACCGUGUUAUAUUGCCAUCAUAUUCCAUGUGCUGACCCGUUUUCGGGCUGCAACGUAUUAUGUUACAGACUUUUCAGAUGAGGAGUAAGGUUCGUUAGGUCGUUGUCGUACAGCUCAGCUAUGCCGUUGGAUUUGAUGGACUCACUUUAUCUUCCAAGCCUUCCGGUGUUAUCGUAUGAGAUGGCCUUAAGCCAUAUUUAUUGUAAUAAGUUCUCUAUUGAGACAUUUGAUGUAAUAAGUGUGGGAUUGCUACUCUGUUAUAAAUCCUUCGAGUACUGUGUGUGUCAGCAUUAUUGAUCCAGGGAUGACACUGAAGCACAGAGACUUGACCAUUUGAGGUCGGGUUGCUACAAGAUGGUAUCAGAGCACACGCUGAGUAUAGGACACGACCACUAAGCUAAAGCCCUAGAUCACCACUCUCUUCUCAUUUCUGACUCCUCUCCAUUUUCUACUCUUUAGGAUGGCGGACGCAAGGAACAAGUUUGCACAACCGGAUGGAGAGGCACCUUUUGGACGACACUUGAAGGAAGUCACUAAGUACCUGAAUAUUGGAAUACCAAGCUUCACCGGGACUUACAACGCCACUUUACCAGAAGAGGAGCGAUGGAAGAUUCAAGUUCAAGUUCCUGGAAGGACAUUCGUGCCAGUCACCAAACCCAUAGAGUUUUCCUUUGAUGCACCAACCUGGAGUCUAGGAAAGAGUAUGGCAGCUCACAUCACCAUGGGACACAUUGGAGAAGUUUACCAUAAGGAGCUUAAGGAUACUAUCUAUCAGAUUAGUGGGCGCCAAGAUGAGCAAUGGGAGAUGAUCAGCACCAGGAAGGAUAGAUCAAUCGCACCUUUCAUCCAGGAGUUAAACCAGCACAUUUGUCACCAGGAGAACCAGAUGUGCGCAUGCAUGAUAGAUCUGAAGAAGGUAAUGACAAGGAUCACGGAACUGGGGAAAGAACUCAAGGCUACUCGCGAAGAUUAUGAGGAGGAAAUUGUCAUACUAGUGGACAAGAAUGAUGAUCUGGAAAAGGAAGCUGAUGAGGACAUGACUACCUUGGAUACGACCAAAAAUAUUGCAUACAUGCAUAUUUGUCAGGUGAUUUCUAAUGCAAACUAUUCAAUAAUCUAUUUAUAUUAUCCAGAACAAAAAUACUUCACACACUUUUGUGUUUUGUCUAAUUGCAGGUGUAUGGGACAUUUGUACAAUCCACAUAUGAAGAUAAGGGAAAAGGAGAAGUUUAGGUUGUGUUCAAAAAGUCCUCUCACGUCACUUUUGGGGCAAGAGAAGAUAGAGUCCAAGUCUCUCACGUUCUGGAUUCAGAUUCGGACUGCACAGACAUACCUGACUCAAAACGCCAAUAACUUUUUCAUACGGACUCCGAAUUGGGUGAUUCUUUUUUUGUUGGAAACUAGAUUUCGUGCUCUUUCCAACCCAACUAGAUUCACCUUCAAAUUCGUCCGGAGCGUUGAGUUACGGACGAAACAAUCUGAUGUUGCAGCAGAGUCCGAGUCAAACUACAAGCCCAAAGGUGUUGCAUCAUCUCCACUUGGGCCCAUGAGCCUUGUAUGACCUAGGGUUAGUUUUAGGCUGCCUUGGGAUGUCCUCCCACCUCCUUGGCCGCCACCCCUUGCUCCUAUAUAAGUAGAUCCAUCUAGUAGCUUUUUCCUUGGGAUCUGUUUAGUUAAAAGUUAGCCAUUGCAACUUCGUGUACUUCGUUUGUGUCCAACGACCAGACCAAGACCGCUUACGGAUCCCCACCAUUAUCAAUACCUCAUAUAUAUUUGCGAUAUUCAGAUUGCUUUAUCAUAUUCUUGCUCGUUCUUCUAUUGCUUGCAGGAAUAGACCUUCGUGGUCAGGCUGACCGUGCUUCCGGCAUCGUCAGUAACCUCAGGAGAUUGGUUUAGCGAUUGCUAAGGCACAACGUCGUGCAUGUUUGUAGUCGGAUCGUCAAAGUCGUCUCCACCAAAUCGAUAGUUAUCAUCUCAUCGAAAGAUCGGGACACCCUCGCCUCUAUCAAGUGGUAUCAGUUUUCAGGUUGCUCGGUGAGAAUUUCCAGUUUUCCUAGAUUAGAUUUAUUUUCUUACCUAUUGUCCAAGAAAAAGCCACAAAAAAGAGUUAGAUCUAUUCAUCCUUGGUCCAAGCCAGUCUGAGCCUUUGCAAUUUUCUUUUCAUUGCUUGCAUAGUUGAAUUAUCGGUUGCAUCGUCGUGUCGAGUUGCUGGUCUUAGUGUCUAGUUCGUUUAGAGUUUCGAGUUCUGUUCACAUUAGUCACGCCACCGCUGCAUCAUUAUCUUUUCCGCUGUCCACCACCCAUCCAUCAAUUUCCACCACGUGCUACCCACCAUUCAUUGUCAUAAUAAUAGUUGAGAUCGUUCACAUCUUCACUUGAUCCAAUCUGCAUCUUAUCUAGUUUGUUUUGGAAAGAGGGAGAAAAAAAGAGAGAAAAAAAAGUAAAAAAAAAGUCAGAGAAAAAAAAAGAAAGGAAAAGAAAAAAAAGUGUGAGAAAAAAAGAGAGGAGAAAAAAACAAAAUUCGGAUCUAUCUAGACUCAAUCUCGUAGUUGAAUUCGGAUUGGAAUCUGUUUUGUGCACUGUUUAGUAAAACAGGCAUAACUUCCUCAUACGAAGUCUGUUUUGCCUCCGCGAGUACUCAAACGAAGGCUAGCGACGAGCCGCAUCUAAAUAGUUGAAGAAGCAAGUUCAAUAUUUGGCACCUCAAAAUCGGCUUCUAAAUAGGUCUUUUUGUCCUCCGAAGUUCAUGAACACAGCUUAUUCCAGUUUUUCAGGCCAGUUUUCGAAUUUUUUGACUCCUCAUAUCAACUCAGAAUUGAGCGAUUCCUUUGGUGUUUGAAAGCUUGAGUCAAUCUCAUUCUUGAAAAAAAAAUUCAAAAAAAUCGGCACAAACUUUUUCAGAGGAAAGUUGGAGACAAAGUUGUUGAUAUAUCCUACUUGGCUGUUGUUUCACAUCACUAUCUUUACUGCCAUUGUGAUCUUCACUUAUAUCUUGCUGUCCAGAGCUACUUAGUAUCCUUCAUUGAUGCUAGUUGUGCUACGACGUGACGUCAUUAGUGUUCUAGGCUCGCGUCUCUAGUUCGGUCUAGCCUAGGACCAGCACAGUACCAUCGUUGAGCGUUUAUUCAACAUUGCAUCUCUGAAUUGAUUAUUGCUAAUCUUUUGCUACCAUAUAUAGCCAACCCAGCUCCACAUAUUUCUACACCGUGUAUACGUACGUUCCCCUGGCAAUCGCUUUACACAAUCUUCAGAGUUAUUUGACACCGCUGGUUGCCUGUCACCACCUGCUGCUUGGUAAGAACUUGUAAGAUAUUGAUAUUUGCUUUACUGUGAGCGCUUUACCACCACACCCUGGUAGUUCAUAGGAACAUUAUUCUUGAAUUUUGUUUCUUGUUUCUACUAAUCAUGACAGGUUCUGAAGAUAGAAGUUCUUGGACGACGGACACAUCUUCACCAUCACGAGAGUUGGGACAACACACACAAGCACAUGGUCAGGUUAUUUUUUUACCGUCAUUUGAGGGUAGAUUUAAUCCUACUACUUAUCUAGCUUGGGAGCUUGAAGUAGAACAAGUUUUUAGUCACCAUGACUUUUCUGAACUUGAGCGAGUGCGAGCAGCCACUAGAGCAUUUACUGAUUUUGCUUCUGUUUGGUGGAGUGUACAUUGUAAGAAAAACAUUGAUAACCAACCCACAACUUGGAAAGUUUUGAAAGCUGUAAUGAGACAACAAUUUUUCCCUCCUUAUUAUCGUCGUGAAUUGCUUCGCAAAUUUGAACAAUUUAAACAAGGCAACAACACUGUUCAUGCUUACUACCAAGAGUUCAAAUCUUAUAUGCAUCAUUGUGACAUAGAAGAAUCUGAGAAUGAUACAAUGAAUAGAUUUUUUGGUGGUUUGAACCAUAAUAUUCAGGCAAGAUUUCAGUAUAUUCCUCGUUGCAUUACUGGUAUGUAUGUCCGUGCCUGUACCUUUGAGAGACAGAUACAGGAGGAUGCAUUAGGUGACUACAACAACUACUAUUCCAGUUCAUACUCACCACCGCCGGUGGGUUCCUCCAUCAUUGCACCUCGGAUUAUGAGCGCGACAUCAUCUCAAGGGUAUGGUACAUUGUCAACGUCCGUACCUACAUCAGCAACAUCUUUGCCACAAGGUAACAGUAAAGGUAUUGAUGAUAUAACUUCACAUGAGAAUGAUGCAUGCCUAGUUAACUUGAAUGCGUCAUGUACUGAGUUACCUGUUGAUUUGAGCACAUCACCUAUUUUAGAGAAUCUUGUUACUAUCAUGAAUGCGUCAUGUGAUCAAACAACUGAAAUAUCAACAAUUUUGAGUGCACCCAUUGAAUUAACUGUUGAUGCAAAAGAACUAAUGUUUAAUCAUUUUGAUAUGGCCUCCAAUCUUGGUGAUGAUUCUGUGUCCAAUGACUUAUUGCAUGUUUGCUUAUUUAAGCAUGUUGUAGCAUGUAAAUUUGAUGCAAGUAAGGUUUAUUCACCAAAGUUGGGAUGGUUUAAUGAUGAACAUUGCGAAUCUUUUGAAAUGAAUAAGAGCUUCACUUAUAUGUGCAAACUGAGUUCUAAUAUUUUCAUGCCUUCUACUUCUUGUGAUAAUUUUUUGGCUUUAGUUUUUAUGAACUAUGAAAGUUACUCAUGUAUACAUGUGUCAUACGUGCAAAAAUCAAAGGAAGUUAAACUGGAUGACAUAUACAUAUACAACAUGUACACCUUGUCUCUUUUGUUAGCCACAUUUCAGAUUAAGCAACGCCGAGGACGGCUUUGUUUUCAAAAAGGGGAGGAUGAUGAGGACAUGACUACCUUGGAUACGACCAAAAAUAUUGCAUACAUGCAUAUUUGUCAGGUGAUUUCUAAUGCAAACUAUUCAAUAAUCUAUUUAUAUUAUCCAGAACAAAAAUACUUCACACACUUUUGUGUUUUGUCUAAUUGCAGGUGUAUGGGACAUUUGUACAAUCCACAUAUGAAGAUAAGGGAAAACGAGAAGUUUAGGUUGUGUUCAAAAAGUCCUCUCACGUCACUUUUGGGGCAAGAGAAGAUAGAGUCCAAGUCUCUCACGUUCUGGAUUCAGAUUCGGACUGCACAGACAUACCUGACUCAAAACGCCAACAACUUUUUCAUACGGACUCCGAAUUGGGUGAUUCUUUUUUUGUUGGAAACUAGAUUUCGUGCUCUUUCCAACCCAACUAGAUUCACCUUCAAAUUCGUCCGGAGCGUUGAGUUACGGACGAAACAAUCUGACGUUGCAGCAGAGUCCGAGUCAAACUACAAGCCCAAAGGUGUUGCAUCAUCUCCACUUGGGCCCAUGAGCCUUGUACGACCUAGGGUUAGUUUUAGGCUGCCUUGGGACGUCCUCCCACCUCCUUGGCCGCCACCCCUUGCUCCUAUAUAAGUAGAUCCAUCUAGUAGCUUUUUCCUUGGGAUCUGUUUAGUUAAAAGUUAGCCAUUGCAACUUCGUGUACUUCGUUUGUGUCCAACGACCAGACCAAGACCGCUUACGGAUCCCCACCAUUAUCAAUACCUCAUAUAUAUUUGCGAUAUUCAGAUUGCUUUAUCAUAUUCUUGCUCGUUCUUCGAUUGCUUGCAGGAAUAGACCUUCGUGGUCAGGCUGACCGUGCUUCCGGCAUCGUCAGUAACCUCAGGAGAUUGGUUUAGCGAUUGCUAAGGCACAACGUCGUGCAUGUUUGUAGUCGGGUCGUCAAAGUCAUCUCCACCAAAUCGAUAGUUAUCAUCUCAUCGAAAGAUCGGGACACCCUCGCCUCUAUCAGAAGCUGGGAGUAUUCAUGGGAGACCCCACGCCAGGAGGAGAAGACGAUGAACCCAAGGAGAUUCGUUUUGGGGACUACAUCAUCAUCAACGACACUGACUCAGACCCCGACGAUAGCGAUGAUGAAUAUGAAGACAAAGCUGGAGCAGACAUCAUGGAGUCUUUGACCGAUCAAUAUUUAUAGUAGACCACCACAUCAGUAGUAGUAUUCCACCAUGCAUAUAGUAUAGUCCGAGCACUUUUGUAACUAUAGUUAUAUCGAUUGUAUGCCUUGCUUGAUUGAUUGAGUGAUGUGAUUGUGUUUGUCUCAUGUGCAUAUGGUUAGUGUUUUUCUCACUAGACCUCAUUCUAUUCUAUUCUCUUUCCUCUAAACCCUCAGAUGCCUCCGAGACGUGACCCCGGAUUUACUUUCCCACCGGAGCUCACUCAGUUGAUCCAACAACAGAAUACACCGAUGCAAUUGUUAGUUCAGAAUCUAGGCAACAACAACAAUAACAACAACAACAACAACCCACCACCACCACCACCAGUUGACAACUUAGCCCGCUUUCUGAGGUUGCAGCCACCGGUGUUUUCUAGCAGCACCGAGCUGAUAGUGGCAGAUGAUUGGCUCCGCAAGAUUGGAAGGGAGUUAACCAGUGUAGGUUGUACCAUGCUGAGAAGGUGCGUUUUGCCGCACAUCAGUUGGAUGGAUCAGCAGCCUCAUGGUGGGAGAAUUAUAUAGUCACCUAUCCUAUAGCGACUGUUACAUGGGAUCAGUUUCAGCAAGCAUUCUGCACCGCCCAUGUCUCAACGGGAGCUAUGAGCAUGAAGAAGCGCGAGUUUCGCAACUUGCGCCAAGGGAACCGUACUGUGGGGCAGUACGUGGAUGAAUUUAGUAAGAUGUCUCGUUAUGCCCCUAACGAUGUGGCCACAGAUGCCGCGAAGCAGGAGAAGUUUAUGGAAAGGCUGAACGAUGAGAUGAGCAUGCAGUUGAUGGUGGCAACAUUUAACAACUACCAAGAGUUGGCACACAAUGCUCUUAUGAUUGAAGGGAAGUAGCAACAAAUUGAGAGCCGCAAAAGAAAGUAUGGACAAGGAAGGUACAACUCAGGAGCUCAGCAGAAGCCUCGUCUAACCCCGAACUCGGGAGGACUUGUUCACAACCAUGGAGGUCAUAACCAUAACAGAGGAAGUUCGCAUAACCACAAUGGUUCCAGGAAUGGGACUGGGAACGGAACAAGCAACAAUCAGACCCGCUCCAAUCCAGCCACACCCGCCAAGAGAGACCUAAGUAACAUUACUUGCUUCAAGUGCGGGAAGACUGGACACUAUGCCAUGGAGUGCCCGGAAGCGAAGAAUGGAAACGGUAAUGGGAGCGCUGGGAAGAAGCCUAUUCCAUUCAACAAAGGACAAGUGAACCACGUUAACAUGGAGGAGGUUGAAGGGCAGCCACACACAGUUAUCGUUAAGUUUUUGGUUAAGACUUUUACCGCCCUUGUUCUUUUUGAUACUGGUGAAUUGCAUUCAUACAUAUCAAGGGGAUUCGUGGAUAAGUUUAAACUACGAACCCAAACCCUUAGGACCCCUCUGUUAGUAAGUUCACCUGGAGCAGAGUAUAUAUCCAGCCCAUGGUGCGACCAGAUACCCCUAACCAUUGGUAGCCAUGUUUUUCUGUCAGACCUAAUAAUUUUGGAGUCACAAGGAUUGGAUGUGAUAUUAGGCAUGGACUAGAUGUCAAAGUAUGGAGGAAGCAUUGACUGUGCUAGUAAAUCAAUUUGUCUCACCACCCCGGAGCGGAAAAGGAUCAAGUAUGUAUCUAGACAUGCGCCUAGGAGUACCCAAGUAAAUACCCUCACGGGAGUUGUUCAGGAGGAAGUGCCUGUAGUGAAGGAUUACCCAGAUGUUUUUCCAUAGGAGUUACUAGGCAUGCCACCAGAUCGAGACAUCGAGUUUUUGAUAGAGCUAUUGCCAGGUACCGGGCCAAUAUCAAAGAGACCCUACCAGAUGCCCGCAAAUGAUCUGGAGGAGAUUAAGAAGCAGAUCAAGGAGUUAUUGGAGAAAGUUUACAUCCGAUGGAGUUCAUCACCAUGGGGAGCCCUAGUACUUUUGGUUGAGAAGAAGGAUAAGUCUCUAAGGAUGGUUGUUGAUUAUCGUGCAUUGAAUAAGGUGACGAUCAAGAACAAGUACCCACUACCGAUGAUCAAUGAUUUGUUUGACCAGUUGCAAGGAGCUAAGGUGUUCUCAAAGAUCGAUCUGCGAUUAGGAUAUCAUCAGCUGAAGAUCCGGGAAAAGGAUAUACCUAAAACCGCAUUUACCACAAGGUACGGGUUAUAUGAGUAUACGGUCAUGUCAUUUGGACUGACUAACGCCCCUGCCUAUUUCAUGAGCAUGAUGAACAAGGUGUUCAUGGAAUAUUUGGAUAAGUUUGUUGUGGUGUUCAUUGAUGAUAUAAUGGUAUACUCAAAGAAUGAAGAGGAGCACAAAGAGCAUUUGCGUUUAGUUCUCGAGAAACUCAGGGAACAUCAGUUGUAUGCCAAGUUCAGCAAAUGUGAGUUUUGGUUGAAAGAAGUUGGAUUCCUUGGACAUGUUAUAUCAGGAGAAGGUAUAGCCGUAGACCCCACCAAGGUACAGUCAGUCACUGAAUGGUUGGCACCCACUUCAGUUAGCGAGAUCCACAGCUUUCUUGGACUCGCAGGAUACUACCGGAGAUUCAUUGAGAAUUUGUCCAAGAUUGUGAAGCCAAUGACAGAGCUAUUGAAGAAGGACAUCAAAUUUAAUUGGACGGAAGAAUGUGAAGCGAGUUUUCAGGAGUUAAAGAAACAUCUGACUACAGCCCCAGUACUGAUUCUACCGGAUACACGCAAGGAUUUUCAAGUGUAUUGCGACGCCUGUCGCUUAGGACUUGGAGGAGUACUGGUGCAGGACGGAAGAGUUGUCUCGUAUGCCUCGCGACAACUGAAACCGCAUGAGUUAAAUUAUGCCACGAAUGACUUGGAGUUGGCUGCCGUAGUGCAUGCGUUGAAAACUUGGAGACAUUAUCUUAUUGGAAACCAUUGCGAUGUAUACACUAACCAUAAGAGUUUGAAGUACAUUUUCACACAGAAUGAGCUGAAGCUUAGGCAGAGGAGAUGGUUGGAGCUUAUAAAGGAUUAUGACAUGAAGCUUCACUAUCAUCCAGGCAAGGCCAACGUUGUAGCAGACGCUUUGAGCCGGAAAAGUUAUGCCAACACACUCAUAAGCGCAGGAUUGCCAAAGGAGUUGGCAGAGGAUCUCGGGGAGCUUCGAUUGGAGAUUGUCCCUAGAGGUUUUGUUGCAACAAUGGAAGUUCAGUCUACAUUGUUAGGAAAGAUUUGAGAAGCUCAGAAGGAUGACAAAGAGAUCGCCGAGAUAAAAGAGAGAAUGAGCAAAGGAAGGGCCAAAGGUUUUCGUGAGGAUGAACACGACACCUUAUGGUUUGAGGACCAUGUUUAUGUGCCCAAUAAUAAGAUCAGGAAGUUAAUACUUCAGGAGGCUCGUGACUCACCAUAUUCGAUUCACCCGAAAACACUAAGAUGUAUGUGGAUUUAAAGGAGCGUUUCUGGUGGACUGGUAUGAAGAAGGAUAUUGUCGAAUAUGUAGCCGUAUGUGAUGUAUGUCAGAGAGUGAAGGCAGAACAUCAAAAGCCAGCCGGAUUGCUACCACUUAUGCCGAUACCCGAAUGGAAGUGGGAUAAGCUUGGCAUGGAUUUCAUCACCGGAUUUCCCAGGACCAAAUCAGGACAUGAUUUUAUAUGGGUAGUAGUUGAUCGCUUGACCAAAGUAGCUCACAUUAUCCGAGUGAAAACCACCUAUACAAGUUCCAAGUUGGCAAAGAUAUACAUGACCAGGAUAGUAUGUUUGCAUGGAGUUCUGAGAACAAUCGUAUCAGAUAGAGGAACCCAGUUUACCUCAAAGUUUUGGAAUCACUUGCAUGAAACUUUGAGAACCAGACUGGAGUUCAGUACAGCUUUUCACCCGCAAACAGAUGGAUAGACCGAGAGAGUCAACCAGAUUCUGGAGGAUAUGUUGAGAGCUUGUGCACUAGAUUAUGGAUCUAGUUGGGAUGACAACUUGCCCUACACAGAGUUCUCAUACAACAACAGUUACCAGACCAGUUUGAAAUGGCACCUUUCGAAGCCUUGUACGGAAGGAGGUGCAGGACACCGUUGUUGUGGGAUGAAGUUGGAGACCGUCAGUUGUUUGGACCAGAUUUGAUUAAGGAAUCAGAAGAGAAGGUUAAAUUGAUUAGAGAUAGACUGAAGGUGUAGCGACCCGACCUCAGACAGUCAAGUCUCUAUGCUUAAGUGUCAUCCCUAGAUCGGUAUGAUGACACACACAGUACUCGAGGAUUUAUAACAGAGGUAAAUCACAUGUAAAAAGUAACGUAAGUACUAUUACCUCAAUCCAAAUAGCGGAAGUAACAAGGUUGUGGCUUCCCAUCAACAACAACGACAAAGUUGAGUGUAGAAAUCGUAACCCUAACGUAUCACUUACUCGUCGUAAGAUUCCUGCAACAUGAGACGUUGUAGCCACAAAGGGUCAGUACAUUGAAUGUACUGGCAAAUUCACACCAUAGAGAGAAAUGAUGAACAAUGGCUAUCACUACAUGCAUAUUUGGCUGGUGGAAAAGCUCUAUGGUUAUAGUUUUUGCGAAAAGCCAAUUUUUUCCUACUACAAAGGAAUAAAUUUUAUUUAACUAUCAUGGUGGUUGUUAAACAUUGAGAAUGGUUGACAGCAUUCUCAAUCCCAAUUAAGUAACAUCAUUAAACCCAACAAAAUUAAUUCAAAAUAACGUGAUGAAAUUCACAUGAUAAUCCAAGUACUAGAUACUCAAAGUGUCCAUAACCGGGGACACGGCUAAUCAUGAUUAGUUUAUACACUCUGCAGAGGUUUGCGCACUUUUCCCCACAAGACCCGAUCUCCUCCGUUGGAUUUCUCGCACUACAAGGUGUUUGAGAAACGGAUGACCAAGACAUAGUCUUUCAGAAGCGUUUGCACCUUACGAUGGGUAGACCGUUCCACCUACAACCCCUACAUCUGCUAGUCUACCACUGUAAGAGUUCACAUGACUUAAUCAACUAUGCUAGAGCCAAUAAUAGCUUGUCGCUGCUCACGGAAGUUUCUAGUAUGAAUAAUCUCAUGAUCCCUUUGAACCUGGGUGGUGGUCCAUAAAAAACAGGCAAUCCUGGAAUACCCAGGUGCCUAGACAGGCAAUCGCUGGAAUACCCAGGUGUCUCAAUCCACCCAGAUGUGUGUUAAAGUUGCCACCUUAAGUAAACCAUUAAUUAACAAUCUCACAUCUGUCAUGAAUACUCUCCAACCCAAUCCACGUCUACGAGCAUAGCAUGGCAAUAUAAGCAUAACAUAAUAGUAACUCGCAAAGGUUGAAUGCAGGGCAAUAGGUUCCUACCUCAUCAACUACUUCCCAAUACCCAUAUGUUAUCAAUCCUACUCAUGCAAUGUUUGAGGGUGAAACUAAUGCAUAAAAACUGGGUAUGAAAGGAAUAUGAUCAAAGUGUGAACUUGCCUGCAAUGUUGAUGAAGAUGAUUCGCACUCAAAACUCUUGAUAGUUCUACUCGUCACACUCCGGUCAAUCUAUCAUAAGCAAGCAAUAGUAACCACACAUAAGCAAUCACUCAAAGAUCGAAGAGAACAAAGAAAACAAUUCGGACAACGUCAAAACCAAGCAAAUAACUCUUGCAACAUAAAACAAUUUCUAACAGUACCAAAAUUAAGUGAAUUUGGCCUUAUUAGAAAGUUUAGGUCAAGAGCUUCAUUUGCAAAAAGAAUCAACUAAAUCGGAGUUACGAAACUCAAGUUAUGUUCAAAAGAAGUUUGAAUAUGAAUCUGAACAAAAUUCGAAAUUUGAAAAUUUCAAAAAGUUGAUGUGAUAGUGAUAGAGGUGGAGGUGUCCCGUCUUUCGAUGAGAUGAUGGAUUUCGCUUUGGUGGAAGUCGACUUUGACGAUCCGACUACGAACGUGCGAGGACGUCGCGCCUUAGCAAUCGCUAAACCAACUCCGAGAGGUUAUUGACCACGCCGGAGCACGAUCAACCUGACCACGAGGGUCUGUUUCCUACGAGCAAACGAAGAACAAGCAAGAAACUGAGAUUGCAAUCUGGAUAUUGCGAAUAUAAGAUGAAAGCUUUAUUGAUCAAGGUGGGGUUCUGUGACGCCUUUGUCUGGUCGUUGAACACAAACGAAGUACGCGAAGUUGCAGCUAUGGCGAACUUUUAAUCUAAACAAAACCCAAAGAAAAGCUACUAGAUGGAUCUACUUAUAUAGGAGCAAGGGGUGGCGGCCAAGGAGGUGGGAGGACGUCCCAAGGCAGCCUAAAACUAAAUCUAGGUCGUACAAGGCCAAUGGGCCCAAGUGGAGGUGAUGUAACACCUUUGGACUUGUAGUUUGACUCGGAUUCUGCUGCAGCAUCAGAUUGUUUCGUCCACAACUCAACGCUCCAGACGAAUUUGAAGGUGAUUCCAAUUGGGUUGGAAAGUGCACGAAAUCUAGUUUCCAACAAAAAAAGAAUCACCCAAUUCGGAGUCCGUAUGAAAAACUUGUGUCUGUUUUGAGUUAGGUGUGUCUGUGCAGUCCGAAUCUGAAUCCAGAACGCGAGAGACUUGGACUCUAUCUUCUCUUGGGCCAAAAGUGACGUGAGAGAACUUUCUGGACAGCAAAUAAACAUCUCUUUCUUCCUUAUCUUCAUAUGUGGAUUGUACAAAUGUCCCAUACACCUGCAAUUAGACAAAACACAAAAGUGUGUGAAGUAUUUUUGUUCUGGAUAACAUAAAUAGAUUAUUGAAUAGUUUGCACUAGAAAUCACCUGACAAAUAUGCAUAUAUGCAAUAUUUUUGGUCAUAUCCAAGGUAGUCAGGUCCUCAUCAUCCUCCCCUUCUUGAAAAUAAAGCCGUCCUCGGCGUUGGUUAAUCUGAAAUGUGGCUAACAAAAGAGAUAAGGUGUACAUGUUGUAUAUGUAUAUGUCAUCCAUUUUUACUUCCCUUGAUUUUUGCAUAUAUGACACAUGAAUAGAUGAGUAACUUGCAUAGUUCAUAAAAUCUAAAGCCAAAAAAUUAGCACAAGAAGUAGAAGGCAUGAAAAUAUUGCAACUCAGUUUGCACAUAUAAGUGAAGCUCUUAUUCAUUUCAAAAGAUUGACAAUGUUCAUCAUUAAACCAUCCCAACAUUGGUGAAUAAAUCUUACUUGCAUCAAAUUUACAUGCUACAACAUGCUUAAAUAAGCAAACAUGCAAUAAGUCAUUCAACACAGAAUCAUCACCAAGAUUACAGGUCAUAUCAAAAUGAUUAAACAUUGGUUCUUUUGCAUCAAUAGUUAAUUCAAUGGGUGCACUCAAAAUUGUUGGUAUUUCAGUUGUUUGAUCACAUGGCAAAGUCAAAUUAUCAACGUAGUCCUCUAAAAUAGGUAGUGUGAUCAAAGUAGUGGGUAGCUCAUCAGAUGGUGCAUUCAAAUUGACAAGGCUUUCAUCAUUCUCAUGUAGAGAUGGAAGAUCAGUACCUUUGUCAUUACCUCUUAUGAUCAACUCAGAUGAUGUAGCCAUUCUCGGGGGCGAUGUGUCACAUGGUGGAGGUGAUGUAGUCCUGACAACAACGGAUGUGGUUGUCAUAGUAUGCCUAGUAGUUGAAGGAACAAUCAUAUCAACUCUUGGAAUGUGCACCGUGCGCUUGUUCUCCUCGUGGCCAACACGUCGUUUUAUUUCCUGUUCAGCUUUGCAAGCAAGAUGAAACAAAUGGUCCAUAGGAUAACACUCUUCAUGAAUUAGUAUCUCUUGAAUAUCACCGUUUAAUCCUCCCCAAAAUCUAUCCAUAAAAUCAUCUUCACUUUCUUCUAAAGAGGAAUGCAACAAGGUAGUUUGUAAAUCAUCAUAAUAUUUUGUUACAGUUUCACUACCAUGUUUUAAGUGUUGCAACUUCUUAAUCAUGUCACGAGUAUAAUAAGCAGGGACGAAAGUAUGUCGCAUGGCAAGUUUCAAAUCAUCCCAAGUAGUAGGUAUAUAAUCAGGGUGUAACCGACAAUAUUCACUCCACCAAACCAAAGCAUAACCAGUGAAAGAACCAACCGCAACCUUAACCUUUUUAUGUUCAUCGAAAUUAUGGGAAGCAAAUAUGUUUUUUAUGUCGAACUCCCAUUCAAUAUAUAAAGCAGGUUUAAAACGGCCAUUAAAUGGUGGUAUAGAUACAUUAACCUGAUCAUGUGCAUUUGGAUGUUUGUGCACCUCUCGUGACGGUUGUGGUAUUUGCAAAGGUGGUGGCACGUCUCCCGCGAUCGACAAAGCCCAUGAAUUGACUCUGGAUCCUGUCAUGAUUAGUAGAACAAGAAACAAAACCCAAAAAUAAUGUUCCUAUAACUACUAGGAUGUGGUGGUAAAACGCUCACAGUAAAGCAAAUAUCAAUGUCUUACAAGUUCUUACCAUGCAGCAGGCGGUGAUCGGCAACCAGCGGUGUCAAGUAACUCCGAAUAUUGAGUAAAGCGAUUGCCAGGGGAGCGUACGUAUACACGGUGUAGAAAUAUGUGGAGCUGGGUUGGCUAUAUAUGGUAGCAAAAGAUUAGCGAUAAUCAAUUCAAAGAUGCAAUGUUGAAUAAACGCUCAACGACGGUACUGUGCUGGUCCUAGGCUAGACCGGACUAGAGACGCGAGCCUAGAACACUAAUGAGGUCACGGCGUAGCACAACUAGCAUCAAUGAAGGAUACUAAGUAGCUCUUGACAGCAAGAUAUAAGUGAAGAUCACAACGGCAGUGAAGAUAAUGAUGAAAAACAACUGCCAAGCAGGAUAUACAACAACUCUCUCUCCAACUUUCCUCUUGAAAAGUUUGAGACAAUUUUCUGAUAAAUUCUUUCAAAGAAUGCUACUAACUCAAGUUUUCCAAUGCAAAAAGAAUCACUCAAUUCCGAGUUGAUAUGAGGAGUCAAAGAAUUCUAAAACUGGCCUGAAAAAUUGGAACAAGUUGUGUUCACGAACUUCGGAAGGCAAAAAGACCUAUUUAGAAGCCGAUUUUGAGGUGUCAAAUAUUGAACUAGCUUCUGCAACUAUUUAGAUGCGGCUCGUCGCUAUCUUCAAUUUGAGUACUCACGGAGCCAAAACGGACUUCGUAUGAGAAAGAUACACCUGUUUUACUGAACAGUGCGCAAAACAGAUUCCAAUCCGAAUUCAGGUACGAGAUUGAUUCUAGAUAGAUCCGAUUUUUUUCCUUCUCUUUUUUUUUCUCACGCUUUUUUUUUCUUUUUCUUCUCUCUUUUUCUUUUUUUUCCUCUCUUUUUUUCCUCUAUCUUUUUUUUCUCCCUCUUUCCAAGACAAACUAGAUAAGAUGCAGAUUGGAUCAGGCGAAGAUGUGAAUGACCUCAACUAUGAUUAUGACAAUGAACAGUGCGUAGCACGUGGUGGAAAUUAAUGGAUGGAAUGGUGGACAGCGGAAGGGAUAAUGAUGCAGCGGCGGUGUGACUAAUGUGAACAGAACUCGAAACUCUAAAGGAACUAGACGCUAAGACCAGCAACUGACACGACGAUGCAACCGAUAAUUCAACUAUGCAAGCAAUGAAUAGAAAAUUGCAAAGGCUCAGACUGGCUUGGAUAAAG
rnacentral:lncRNA from 1 species